GGAGGGGAAAAGCUGGAAGAAGGUUAUCAGGGAAUGGAAGCAAAAUAAGCUUCUGUUUUCCUGAUAAUAGAGGACUCUCACUGGUGAGGAGAAAGCAGCUUCUGAAAUACAGGAUCACAUUCUGCUAUGUGCAAUGUGGCAUACUUUGGGGGAACGUUGAAGAGUUCUGUGAUCUGUUACAGAGGGAGCCAGGUAAAGGGAGUUGUGAGUACCGGAAAGGAAUACAGCCUGUAUCACGAUUCAGUUCCUGAUGCACCAGUUCCAAAGUCUGCUGGCCCCUGGGAGAGGAGAAGAGAUCUCUCUCCUCCUUAUUUGUUUAUACAGACCACAGCGUCGAUACUGUCUGACAUUAUCUGAAUAUGGAGUUGUACACCAAAGAGAAGGAGGACACAAUUCUGACUCAGGCCAUGUCACGGUAGGAAGAAACUAGAGAAGGGUUGACUUACACUGGCUCUUAUACCUUCGGUUGGGAGCAUGAGGAGAGCUACUGCGCAUGUGCAGGUCAAUGGACAUUGCUUUGAAGAAUUUCUGGACUUGGGUCCAUGGUACACGUGUAACUACAUAUGGAAUACAUAUAGGGAACAUCACUCAAAAAAGAAGGUAACAAAUAUACUUUCCUUUCUAUAAUCCUAAAUGUAAACACCU